UACCCUUUCCCCAAACUAAACACGCUUACACAACUAGGGUUUCUCUCAUCCUCUCAUUUUGUCCGCCUCUCAUCCUCUGCUCUCUCUCUCUCUGGUGAUUUAGGGUUUCUGCAUAUCAUUCUCAUCCGCCCCCAUUGUUCUCUCUCUCUACAUUCAUGGCGAUUUAACCUGUCUCUCCGGCGAUUCCAACAGCGGGAGUGGCGAUUUCACUCUCCACUUAUACCCUUUCACUCAAAAAAAAGGACACGGGUGAUCUUCACCAGAUCUAGGGUUUCACAUUCAUUCGUUUCAAAACAUUUCAAACAUAUCGUCGCUCCCCUCUCUCUCUCUCUGGCGAUUUCACCAGAUCUAUGAAGUUUCAACAGAUGGAUGAAGAAUCUGACCUCCUGGUUCCGAUUUCCGGCUUUUAUUGGCUUUUAUUUCAUCCCUAAUUUCUCUUCCCUUUCGUCUUGCUUCUUACAAAGAGCAAUAUCCAUCUUCAAGAGGUUACUCAUAGGCUUGCUCAGAUUUGACGGAGAAAAGGUACAACUGAGACUUUUAGAUCUGCGAUCCCCAAACCCUCAUAUGGUAAAACUUUUAGAUCUGGUAUGUUUAUAUGCAGGUUGGGGGAUUUUGAUUUCAGGUCAUUUCCGGCUGUUCUAUCUUUAUCGCAAACUUAAAGCUAAUAUUUGCAGUUGUGAUGCAGUUUUGUGGUUUGAUAAUGCGACUCUGAGUUUUUAUUGAUUUUGUUGAGAAUUGCAGUUCAAUGUCUGGACCACUCGAUUGAUUUGAGAGGCCUUAGCACAGAUUAGAGCGGUUGCAGGCAGAGCAUAUACAACAAUCUGAGUGGAUAUAACUGGGUCAAGAAAUCGAGGUUGAAGGUAGAUUUGUAAGGCAGGAUUACUGGAUCUUAAAAAGGCAAACUGGAAAUAUUAGUGUCUUUGGGGAGAUAACGAUCGGGUUGACAAAGAUCAAGAAACAGUUUUGGCUGGGGCAGUUGGAAUGAUUCUUUCUAAUAAUGAUGCUUUUUGGAAUGAGAUUAUCACAGAUCCUCAUGUCUUGCCUACUACACAUAUCACAUAAUACCAUACCGAUGGUUUUGCGGUUUUGCUGUUUAUUGUUAUCUUAAGGAGAUAGAAUAAGCAUGUUUAUUUUAAAUUUUUUUUGCACUCUUAACACUAGAUAGUCCUUGAGAGGAAUAUAUCCUAUGCAUUUUGUUGAAAACAAAUUAAAAUUUUGGUUUUUUUUUUGUAUAUUACAUCCUUAAGUUUAAAAACCUAUUGAGAAAGUCCUUGUGCAUGAAUAAAUCCUUUGGUUUAAUGAAUAGGCUCUUAUUGUUUGCAUGAUUACAUCCUGAAACUUUAUUAAAAAGUCUUUUCGUUUUGACCUGUUUGCCACCUCAAUUUUAUAUUCAACUCAUUUGAUAAUGAAUUGAUAAUAUUCAACUCAUUUGUUUGCUUCUUUGAACAGGUUUCGCGCAGAAUGGCUUUGGGUCAACAGAUCAAUGAAAAAAGGCUCUUUUUGUUCGGGUCAAAACGGGUCGAUUAUAGAAUGUUAUUUUGGUUUGGGUAAAAAACGAACCGUUUCAACUCAUAUAAAUGUCACAUUUCCAAAGAAAUCCGUUUUUUACCCGAACUAAUCGACCCGUUUUUACCCGGACAAAAAUAGCCUUUUUUGAUCGACCUGUUGACCCGAAGCCAUUCUGAGCGAAACCUGUUCUGACCUGGCAUGUCGCUCUACUCGACCCUCCUAUUUGUACAAUAUGUUGGUUUUGUAUGAUUAUUUGUGCAAUAUGUUGGUUUGUAUGAUUUCCGACAAUUUAGGAGAAACAGGUGGCGAUUUUAAUCUGUUGUUCGUAUUUCAUUUUACAGCUAUGUAUAGUGUAUUUCGGAAAAAAGAUAUGCAUUGGGCAGCAGAGACGGACCGCUGUGGAGCUGGUCUUAGGGGCUCAGGUGAAAUAUAUAUCGGGUUCAACGCGCCACUAGAAUUAAAAAAGUAUGUACAGAUGUAAACGGAAACACUAUCCGACAUAGUGUACUAUUCCAUGCCUCUUAUGCAUUGAACACAAGAACUAACUUCGAAAUAAUUUACCAUCCUAGGUAACCUUCUCUACCCCAACACCUCUUCACUUAAAUGCAAAUGGUCUCAUCGUAUGUUAUUAAGCAUACAAAUUUACUGUGGGGUGUGUGCUUCUGCUUUUAUAGUUAUGAUAAGGUCAUGGAAGCACUUAAAGUUAAUUAUUUCCGUGUUAGUUCUGCGACUGUUGGGCUGCUAAAUGUUUGUGGUUUUUACGUUCAUUGUAUUGAUUAUGGAAUGGCAUCAAGGCUCUUGGAUCAGAGUAAUUAAGAGGAAAUUUUGGAUAUUAAACUCGCUUGUUUCUGGAACUUUUGCAGAUCUCCUUCAAGAUCCAGAUCUCCACCACCGUCUGUAAGUCAAACCACAUAUUUUGACUAUAUAUGCUAAAUACAAAUAGCUAUACUUUUUUUCUUUAGUCGUAUAUAUAGAAUGGGUCUCUCGGGCCAAAGUUGAUUGAUGCCAAAGUUGAGGGGCCAAAGUUGAUUAAUGCCAAAGUUGAGGGGCCAAAGUUGGUUGAUGUUGACAAAGUAGCAUUUUAAGUAUGCAUAGAAUGGGCUUCUCGGCGUGCGCUCUCUGGUAUGUUAAUUUUCAUUUCUUUCACAUACCGCUGAAGAACUGAAGUAAAACUGGAAUAAUAAACUAAAUCGUUGAGCGACCUUAUUGUCCCGUUUUCCUUUUAGAUUUAUUUUUUUAUUUGACCCGUUUGAGAUAAAAAAAACCAAAUCAACCCAUUCAUUAUGAAAUUACCAAGCUAAAUGGGCCGUGUUCACGUCGACUUGGCUGGUUCGCGGUUUGACCCGUUUAACCCAUUUAUUUCUUUAUAAAUGUUUUAAUAAUAUGUAUUUUAUUAUGUAACCUAAAAUAAACAUUAGGCUUUAUAGUUUCAAGUUCAAACAUAGUUUUUUUUGUAUACAUUUGUAUUAUUUGUCAUUAAUUUUAAUUUUAAUGUUAAUUUUAGAGUACUAAUAUGCCAAAAAAUUGAGUUAAAUGGGUCGAGUUGCCAAUGAGGUAGUGGUGUAGUGGUUGGAAAAUAUAUUGGUGUUCUUUGUGACCUAGGUUCGAUUCCCACUCUCAUUAUUUUCUGCGGCAUCCAGGUGAAGAGCGAAUACGGGUGGCGCCGGUUCGACUUGGAUGGGAGGCGAGGUUUUAUCGAUUAUUCCACUGUUGUGCCUCCGGGCGGGUGGGGGUCGGGUUUCCACGCAUCUGGGGAGAGCCAAGGGGCUGGCGGCGGUGAUCGCGGUUUUGUGUGUCGAUGAUCGAUCAUUUGUACUGUCGAUGAUCGCGGUUUUGAGUGUUUGAUGACGUCAUGUUAGCAUGUAGAAUCUGGAAAAGUUUUUUUUUUAAAUCAUUAUUCUUAUUUUUAAAUGUUUUAUUUUGUAUGAAUUUCAGAUUGAGGAAAGUAACAAGUUGCAGUUCUUAACAAAGGAUGAGUGUGGUCGGGUUUGAUCUCCGGAACGAAAGUUGUGUUGUGGUGGUUGCGAGACAUAAGGGGGAUUGACGUUCUUAACGACGAGGUGAAGCGUGAGACACCUGCUAUGAGAAUCCGCAUGUUGGCUUUUUUUUUUCUUUUUUUUUCCGAUACGUUUACGUGUGAUUUGGUUUCAGACAUUUGCUUUUUUUUGUUUGGUUGCUUAUUACAGUAUUAGUUGUCAGUCGAGUUUGAUGUUACUACACUGAGGAGUGAAGUGGUUAGGGGUUAUUACUCCUUUUCUUGGCUUACAAAUUUAUCUGAUCUAAUCUAAUGAAGGUUUUGUAUUUAAGGAUAA